GACGAACGCUGGCGGCGUGCUUAACACAUGCAAGUCGAACGAAGUGGCGAACGGGUGAGUAACGCGUAAUCAACUUGCCCUUCAGAGGGUGACAACAGUUGGAAACGACUGCUAAUACCGCAUACUGAAGGAGGGGAUGGCGUCGGAUUAGCUAGUAGGUGGGGUAACGGCGCACCAAGGCGACGAUCCGUAGCUGGUCUGAGAGGAUGACCAGCCAAACUGGAACUGAGACACGGCCCAGACUCCUACGGGAGGCAGCAGUGGGGAAUAUUGGACAAUGGGCGAAAGCCUGAUGCAGCCAGGCGGCGUGUAUGAGGAAGGCUUUCGGGUUGUAAAGUACUUUCAGCGGGGAGCGGUACCUGAAGAAGAAGCCACGGCUAACUACGUGCCAGCAGCCGCGGUAAUAC
rnacentral:rRNA from 1 species